rnacentral:lncRNA from 1 species
UCUCAGGUCACUGAAAGUGAAAUGAAGGGAACUCAGAUAUUUAAAGAAUAUGUUAUGUAAACCAGGGACUUUCUGUAGCUUACCUCAUGUAAUUGUCAUCAUAAUCACAUGAAGUAGAUUUCGUUAUCCUCCAUUUGUACAUAAAGAACUGCAGAGAAAUUAAAUAUAGACAUUACCAGUUGAAUGACUCAACAGACGUUAAUGUUUUCUCUUGCUGCCCUUCAUCAUGGAAUAUGGAAAAGGCCACCUCCUCGACUCACUGAGCUGUUGCUAGCAGCUUAGAAGUGGC